GCUGGGAGCUGUGGUGCAUACUUGUAAUCCCAGCAACUUUGGAGGCUGAGGCAGGAGGAUCACAAGUUUAGGGCCAGCCCAAGCAACUUAGCAAGGCCCUAAACAACUUAGUAAGACCCUAUCUCAG
rnacentral:sRNA from 1 species